AACAGAACCAACCCGGAGUUGAACUGAUGACUGUGCUAAACUCAUACUGGUAGUUAUUUAUCAUAGUCAUCAGUGCUGUGCGUCUUAGAAGCAGAGGUAGGACCACAGUCUCCAGAGCCCAGGAACACACACACACAAACACACACACACACACACACACCCACACACACACACACACCGUUCACCUCCAAUGGCGUCAGCCUGCUUUCACUCUCUCCGACGACAGCUUUAGAUUAACACUGUGGGGGUACACACACACAAACACAGGCAUACACACACAGACAUACACGCAUACACACACCACCCAGACUACCCCUGCUCUGUUCUGUUUACCUCCAGUCAUCAUCAGUAGAAUCUAAUUGGAUGACUUAACUCCCAGAAGGCAUGAGAUCACAAGGGACAUUUCUUUUCCUUUGUUUUUCAGUCCCUUACAUGGAAGCAUUGUCCUCCUCCCCCAACAACAACAACCAGGAGAACUGUAUUCCUCUCACUACAACAACAACAACCAGGAGAACUGUAUUCCUCUCACUACAACAACAACAACCAGGAGGGUCAUGUUCAUGUUUUCUCAGCUCUUUUUAACAUGUUCCAGUCCGUUUUCUUCCCAAUGAACACGACCCUGAGUCCGUGCUGCCCCACAGCCUAAGCGACAAGCCCACAACCCGUUCAGAAUGGUGGAAGAAGUAGCUCAAUAUUAUGUAGUGUUUAUAACAUUCUAGACUAGUCCGAUUCAUGUUUUCACAGCUCUUUUUAACAUUCCAGACCAUUCUGUUUCAUGUUUUCACAUCUCUUGAACCAUAACUCUCCAACACUGCCAAACCCAAAGCUGAACUGUUGAGAAUGUUUGGCUUCAUGACAUCAUCGUAUAGGCUAAUUAGAAGCACUUAUUUUACAUAAAUCCUCAUCACACCACAGAGUGGGCUUUUUUCUAAAUGUCUGCCAAUGUAUUAAACUGUAUUUCACUCGGCCCUACUCCAUGGAGCAGAACUUGAGUAGAAUUUAACCGUAACCACAGAACAAUGGAAGCCAUACCCUGAGAUUCCGGAACCGACUGGGGUUGCCAGGUCCGUCGCUGUUCCGGUCUAAAAAUUUAAAAUCCUGUUUAAUCACUUGUGGAUUAUUUCUCCCUCAAAUCCCUCCAUUGUUGUGGCAAGCCAAAACAGCUAAUAGAUAACCUGUCAUAACUCUGAUAGCCCGUCCGUGGGACUGGAGAAACUGGGUUAACAUGGUGGGUCAUGGGGUAAAGCUGGUCCUAAUUCAGACCUAGGGAGGUCAAGUCUGCCCAUCCAUAAACACAUUUAUGGGAGUAACAUAUGUGUUCAUAGUGAUACUAUUCAUCAUGUAAGUGUUUGUUUUGUGAUUACCACUAGCAACCAGCCACACACACAGACAUGGGCAUCUCUGACACGCUCACUCUUAAAGCCAACCUGACUACAUUUGUAUCCUCAAUGUCCUAUGGGGAAACUGUUAGAUAUGUCUCUAUUCCUCAUAACACUCCUAAAUCAUCCUCCACCUGAUCAUAGUCCUCCACCUAUCAUGCUCCUAUCAUGCUCCUAUCAUGCUCCUGUCAUGCUCCUAUCAUGCUCCUAUCAUGCUCCUGUU
rnacentral:lncRNA from 13 species